GAAACCAGGAAGCAGGAAACAAGGAAGCAGGAUGGAGGUCAGACAGGAAGCAGUGGAGCAGACAGUAAAGAGGGUUUGAGUUAAUGAUUGGCUGAACAACUCCAGUGUUCUGAUUGGAUGCACAGAUCAGGAGAUGGAGCUACAGGAAGUUAAAAAAAGACAAACUUACCGAAGCAGAACUCGGCCUUCGGUCGGAGUUUGGUGGCAUCGCUCACCUGAGAGAGAGAGAGAGAGGGAGAGAGAGAGAGAGAGAGAGAGAGGGAGAGAGAGAGAGAGAGA